rnacentral:pre_miRNA from 1 species
AAAAAAACAAACACUGAGUUUUCGUGUUUAACGUUUGACCGUCCGUCUUAUAUGAAAUUUUUUAUAAUUAGUAUUUUCAUUGUUGUUAGAUGAUAAAAUAUGAUUAAUACUUUAUGCAUAACUUAUCUUUUUAAUUUUUUUUAUAUAAGAUGGACAGUCAAACGUUGGACACGAAAAUCUAGAGUU